rnacentral:rRNA from 1 species
AUGAACGCUGGCGGCGUGCCUAAUACAUGCAAGUCGAGCGAACAGAUGAGGAGCUUGCUCCUUUGACGUUAGCGGCGGACGGGUGAGUAACACGUGGAUAACCUACCUAUAAGACUGGGAUAACUUCGGGAAACCGGAGCUAAUACCGGAUAAUAUAUUGAACCGCAUGGUUCAAUAGUGAAAGACGGUUUUGCUGUCACUUAUAGCUGGAUCCGCGCCGCAUUAGCUAGUUGGUAAGGUAACGGCUUACCAAGGCAACGAUGCGUAGCCGACCUGAGAGGGUGAUCGGCCACACUGGAACUGAGACACGGUCCAGACUCCUACGGGAGGCAGCAGUAGGGAAUCUUCCGCAAUGGGCGAAAGCCUGACGGAGCAACGCCGCGUGAGUGAUGAAGGUCUUCGGAUCGUAAAACUCUGUUAUUAGGGAAGAACAAAUGUGUAAGUAACUAUGCACGUCUUGACGGUACCUAAUCAGAAAGCCACGGCUAACUACGUG